AGCUCCAUAGUGUCCAACAUAUAAGAUUGCAAAUCUUAAGAGGCAGAUUACUCCUGCUGGGGCUU
rnacentral:tRNA from 1 species